CCGCGAUGGGGGGGGCGGGGAAGAAGUGCGGUCGGGGUCGGGCGCGGAGCCCUGGCGCCCGGGGCUGGGAGCCGCCGGCACGUGUCCCCUGAGCCGUCCGGGCGGGCUCCCCGAGACAUCCUGCCCCGGGGGCAGGUUAAAAGUCCGGGCGGCAGGGCAGCAGUUACCACACCCGGGGGGAUCUCCUCGGGCGUCACCUGGAAAGUGGCAGUGGGAGCCCUAGGAGGUUGCGUCAGUUAGAGGUGGGGCGGGAGGGGCUCGCUCUCCCUUCCUCAGGGUCCGGCCGGGAGCGACACGCGGACGGGCUGGGGUCCCGGGGGCCGUCCCCGACCCUCGCCAACAUGGCUCCCGGUGCAGCUUCCCCGACAGAGGCUGGGCGGGCCGUGGUUCCCGGGGAGAUGCGGUCCUUCCGCACGGCUGGGAGACCUCGCCGAGGCCCUUUGGACGCUCACAAACAUGAAACCUUAAGCUGAACUUCGCAACCUCAACAAAAAGAAGGCAGGCUCUAAAAUGUUAAAAUUCGUUGCUGACGGAAUUCUGGUGAUCUCUUUCUUGGGUCUCUACUGUUUUCGUUUCGGAAUGAACAUUUUACCUUCAGGAAAAAAAAAUUUUUUUUAGGUCUAAAACUACAAAAAUAAAAUAAAAUAAAAUAA